GGGUAGAUCUCCAUGCCUUCCAAGAUCAGCAGACCGAUGUCCAGUGGAUGGUGUUGGGUAGAUCUCCAUGCCUUCCAAGAUCAGCAAUCGACCGUAGAACUGUUUGGGUCACUWAACCUGUGAUCUCUUUCUGUCCCUGCUGCAGUUUGGGGCGUCUCUGUGUGCUACUGGCUGGCUACCUGACUGUGGUUAUUGGUGACUAAGGGCCCAGAUGAUUCUGAUCCAGAGUUGGCUGUUCUGUUGACUCCUGCUCUCUCCUCUAAACCAGUCUUUGUGGAUUUGAGAGCACUCUCGGGCCACGGCGUUGGUCGACAAUGGCGCCUUGGCCAACAGGCGGGCAUGGGCAGUGGUCCUGGAGUGCGACUGAUCCCCUGUCCGUUUACCACGGUCAUGCUGACUGCGAAAUCCGCCCAUCCACGAAGAAAAUUGCAGACGUCCAUGUUGAAACCUAGGUCUGUCAGACACUCGGGCUUACUGAUGUCCCCUCGGCACUCCUUCAUGAAAUUAUCCAUGAGGUUAUUGAGGACGAGCUCAGUCAGACGGCCAACAAUCAAGGGCCAACACAGGGUUCACCACAGAAUUCACCACAGGCUUCAACACAGGGUUCACCAAUGGCUUCAUGUGGACUUGCUGAUCAGGAACCUGGGUUGGUACAGGAACCUCCACCUGGGCUGUUACAGCGUCACUGUGGAGAUUUGACCAUGUAACCAGAACUGCCUCAAUUUCGUCGGGGCGUGGAGUCUACAACGUGUCGAAAGCGUUCCACAGGCCCAUGUUGACUCCAAUGCUUCCCAUAGUUGUGUCAAGU